rnacentral:rRNA from 1 species
UACAGAGGGUGCGAGCGUUGUUCGGAGUUACUGGGUGUAAAGGGUUCGUAGGCGGUGUGGCAAGUCGGGAGUGAAAUCUCUGGGCUCAACCCAGAGACUGCUUCCGAAACUGCUGUGCUUGAGUGUGGGAGAGGCGCGUGGAAUUGCAGGUGUAGCGGUGAAAUGCGUAGAUAUCGGCAGGAACACCCGUGGCGAAAGCGGCGCGCUGGACCACUACUGACGCUGAGGAACGAAAGCUAGGGGAGCAAACAGG